rnacentral:lncRNA from 1 species
GAGAAAAAGUUCCUGCUUCUUUAAUUUAGAGAAGCACAGACAAGCAAAAAUGAACAUUCAAUCACUGAAUAUCAAGGGGGUUUGACUGAGGACCAAGACAAAGUAAACGAGGCAAUAGUUCAAUUUUACAGUAACAUUUACAAGUCAAACUAUUCAGCAGAGAAUGUGUUUCUGGAAAGUCUUAGCGCCGGGGUGUCGAAUUCAAGGCCUCAAGUGCCGGUGUCCUGCAGGUUUUAGAUCUCACCCUGGAUCAACACACCUGAAUCAAAUGAUUAGUUCAUUACCAGGCCUCUGGAGAACUUCAAGACAUGUUGAGGAGGUCGUUUAGCGAUUUAAAUCAGCUGUGUUGGAUCAAGGACACAUCUAAAACCUGCAGGACCCCGGCCCUCGAGGCCUGGAGUUUGACACCUGUGUCUUAGAGGCUUUAUUGGAACAUUGGACAAAGGUGUGAAGGAUCGUAUGGAGGGUAAACUUGCAACUGAAGAGCUGGACAAGGCAAUCGAACAAAUGCCCAGGGGUGAAGAGCCUGAGGCCGGUGACGGUCCAGUUCUACUCUACGUACAUCCUUACGGUGGCUCACAGGACAAGGCCACAUUCCUGUCCUGCCAGAAGAGAAACUUCAUAGUCUUCAUGCAGUUCAACCACACCUGUCAUAUUGUGUUCAUGCAGUCUGGAGCAUCUGGAGUAAACAAAAAACUAAAGCAGACACGUGUUACUUCAUCUUUUAUCUUUAUUAUUCUUAUUUUACGUUUCAUUGUUAGGUUAGGUUAGGUUAGGCAUUAGCUUCAUUGCCACUGAAAUCAGAGUUUUAGCAGUCCUUGCCAACUUCUCUCCCUCCUCCAUGUUACUGUGUCAGCAUCUAUUUAGGAUUGGGAGUGCAACAGAAAGUAAGGAAAUCCAAAGUACCAUUAAAACCAAGAGAGGAUCUUAUAUUUCAGAAGGAGAGAUUAUUAAAAAGAAUUCAAAACAAAUGACCUCGAUGCCAUACUUGAUUUAGGAACCCUAGAGAGCACACUUAUAAUUUGACCCUCUGAUGGGCCAAGCUACGACUGUCAGGGAUGGUGAUGUAGGCGCAGAGCAUGUGAGAGUGUGGUCAAAUAAAUGUCUCCAAAACUAGAUGAAGGCACAAGGAGAUCAAUGCAAGGUGUAGAGAUUCAGAGAUUCACCAGCUUCAGUCUUCAGUGGACAUUUCAUUUCUGGCACAAAUAUACCUGUAAAAGUUUUUAGAUUUAGGUUUUUGGUGACAAAACAAAGAUAUACAAUUUCAAUUUGAUAAUAUUUAAAAUAUAAUGAAAUAAAACAAGCUACAAUGGUGGCAAUAUGCUUGUUUGUUGUGCAGCAGUGUCCAGUAUGUUGGCUGAUAUACUUUUUUGCAUUUGAAAAUAAAAGUUGGAUUUUAACUCCAUUACAGGAAGUGAUGCUACCUCUUUUUGAAUCACACU